AACUUGCCCGUGGGAGAGGGGGGUGGGAUGUUCCCCGUUGCUGGAAGGGGGGGUCCCGAGUGGAACAGUUUGAGAACUCCCUGCUCUAAAUCAAUAAAAUGUAUUUAUAAAACCCUUCUUACAUCAGCUGAUAUCUCAAAGUGCUGUACAGAAACCCAGCCUAAAACCCCAAACAGCAAGCAAUGCAGGUGUAGAAGCACGGUGGCUAGGAAAAACUCCCCUAGAAAGGCCAGAACCUAGGAAGAAACCUAGAGAGGAACCAGGCUAUGAGGGGUGGCCAGUCCUCUUCUGGCUGUACCGGGUAGAGAGGAACCAGGCUAUGAGGGGUGGCCAGUCCUCUUCUGGCUGUACCGGGUAGAGAGGAACCAGUCCUCUUCUGGCUGUACCGG
rnacentral:lncRNA from 1 species